UAAAAUAUCUUCCGGGGGAGGAGCCAAGAUGGCCGAAUAGGAACAGCUCCGGUCUACAGCUCCCAGCCUGAGCGACGAAGAAGACGGGUGAUUUCUGCAUUUCCAUCUGAGGUACCGGGUUCAUCUCACUAGGGAGUGCCAGACAGUGGGCGCAGGCUUCUCUAGUGGUGCUGAAAUGAGGUGAUGAUUCCACAAAAACUCAACUAGCAACCAGAGUAUCUUUAUACAUCUCCUGCAUUCAUUGCAAGAAGAAUGGAUUUCAACUCUCAGGGAGGCAGAGUCAUACCUGAAGAUUUAACUGACAUGAGGUGGACACAACCUCCUUCCCACCACCCUCCAGUGACAGUCCUGUUCCAGCCUAGCUUCAGUGGACAAAGCAUCCAGUCACAACAUGUGCAACCACUGUAUGCCACAAGGAUGCUUCCUUGUGCUGUGGAGGAUACACAAAGCUUGUUUCUUUUGGAAGCGAGCCACCAUGUUGCACAGAAGCUCAGGCUGGACAACAGGAUAAUGAGAGGCCAGAUAGAGGGAGGUCUACACAAUGAGACCAUCUUGGACAUCUUGGACAUUCCAGCCACAAUAGAUCUCCCAGCUGGAUGUAGUUACCAGAGUGAUCUCAGCUACACUAUGGGGAACAAAAGACCUACUGAGCUGCUCCUAGCAAACCCAUGGAAUUGUGACAAAAAAUAAAUCAUUGUUGUUUGCAGCUACU